rfam:Solanum lycopersicum cultivar Heinz 1706 chromosome 1, whole genome shotgun sequence.
UAAAAGGUUUUUCUGAAACCACCCAAAAGAGAGUAACAAUUUGAGU